rnacentral:rRNA from 1 species
UACGAAGGGGGCUAGCGUUGCUCGGAAUCACUGGGCGUAAAGCGCACGUAGGCGGGCUCUUAAGUCGGUGGUGAAAUCCUGGAGCUCAACUCCAGAACUGCCUCCGAUACUGAGAGUCUUCGAGUUCGGGAGAGGUGAGUGGAACUGCGAGUGUAGAGGUGAAAUUCGUAGAUAUUCGCAAGAACACCAGUGGCGAAGGCGGCUCACUGGCCCGAUACUGACGCUGAGGCGCGAAAGCGUGGGGAGCAAACAGG